UCGUCUUCAGAGGCGAAGUGA
rnacentral:siRNA from 1 species